rnacentral:sRNA from 2 species
GCGCCCGUCGUUGGGGAGUAGCYRAUUUCCUGYACUGCRGGAAAUGUACGUGUCAACAUACUCGUUGAAAAACGUGGCGCGUACGGAUCGUUUUCWGCACACUUACUGUGCCAAAAGCGAUCAGGCGAGACCAUAGAUACAUCAACUGCUGUUUACUGGGGGCAGUGAUGUGUCAUAUGGAUAUCCCCCGGUCU